AUUGAACGCUGGCGGCAGGCCUAACACAUGCAAGUCGAACGGUAACAGGAAGAAGCUUGCUUCUUUGCUGACGAGUGGCGGACGGGUGAGUAAUGUCUGGGAAACUGCCUGAUGGAGAGGGAUAACUACUGGAAACGGUAGCUAAUACCGCAUAACGUCGCAAGACCAAAGAGGGGGACCUUCGGGCCUCUUGCCAUCGGAUGUGCCCAGAUGGGAUUAGCUAGUAGGUGGGGUAACGGCUCACCUAGGCGACGAUCCCUAGCUGGUCUGAGAGGAUGACAAGCCACACUGGAACUGAGACACGGUCCAGACUCCUACGGGAGGCAGCAGUGGGGAAUAUUGCACAAUGGGCGCAAGCCUGAUGCAGCCAUGCCGCGUGUAUGAAGAAGGCCCUCGGGUUGUAAAGUACUUUCAGCGGGGAGGAAGGGAGUAAAGUUAAUACCCUUGCUCAUUGACGUUACCCGCAGAAGAAGCACCGGCUAACUCCGUG
rnacentral:rRNA from 1 species